rnacentral:misc_RNA from 1 species
GUUUUUUUUUUUUCUUUUCUUUAUGCGUUUUUUUGGAUUGUUGUUUUAGGAUAAAGGUUGUCUUUUUCUCUUCUUGUGGUAUAAUGUAACUGGCUUAUUUGAUUCUAACGAUUUGAAAAUUGAAUGGAUUGAUUCACGUGGAAUUGAUGAUGGUGUCGUCUUACCUCUGAUUUUGGGUAUUGUUAGUGAAUUUUACAAUUGAUGGGGUUUUGCCUUUUUUUUUCCCUUUCUUUCUUUCUUUCU